GUAGGGUGCGAGCGUUAAUCGGAAUUACUGGGCGUAAAGCGUGCGCAGGCGGUUUUGUAAGACAGGUGUGAAAUCCCCGGGCUUAACCUGGGAACUGCGCUUGUGACUGCAAGACUCGAGUACGGCAGAGGGGGGUGGAAUUCCACGUGUAGCAGUGAAAUGCGUAGAGAUGUGGAGGAACACCGAUGGCGAAGGCAGCCCCCUGGGUCGAUACUGACGCUCAUGCACGAAAGCGUGGGGAGCAAACAGGAUUAGAUACCCUGGUAGUCCACGCCCUAAACGAUGCGAACUAGGUGUUGGGGAAGGAGACUUCUUUAGUACCGUAGCUAACGCGUGAAGUUCGCCGCCUGGGGAGUACGGUCGCAAGAUUAAA
rnacentral:rRNA from 1 species